AAUCCUGAAGGCAACUCUGGAAGAUGAGAAGUAUUGUUCCCAAGUGAGGACACAGAGGGUCAGAGAGGUUCAGCAAAAAAAAGGUUAUUCACAAGAACUAGUUGGGGCAGGAUUCCUACUGAGGUCAGGACCUCACCGUGUGGGCUCAGGUGGGCCUCUCCCCUCAGGGCACAGCUUUGGGUUGAGACCUGGUUUCUGCAAAUGUGGCUCUUCAGGACGGGGGGGCGGGGGGAGUUAUCCACUUACACUUUAAGAGUCACUCUCCUGUUAGCAGGUCCUGGAAUGGACUGGAGGGUUAGCCCCCCAAAAUGGGAACCUGAGCCGAGGGCCCCAGGCGGACUGGCAGGGCAGAAAGGAGCAGAGGGAGAGUGACACAUGUGGCCCGGGUCCCAGUUUUGUCUUUACUGAUCCUGCUUAAAAGGAUGCUCACCCGCUCCAGCCUCCAGGUCCCAGCCCAGCCAGCUGGCUUCGCUCAGCAGCCCCCCUCCCUCCCCUCCCCUUCCCUCAGGUCAGGCCGUGGCUGCCCAGCAGAGGGCCCCCUAGUCCUGGCCUAACCGCACAGCCCUCCGAGCCAACAGGCAUUGCUCCCCCAAAGAGGCCAGGGAAGGGAGAGGGGGCCUCCCUGAAGUGCCCGCCCAGAGCAUGGGGUACUUUCUGGCCAGGCAUCUUCCAGGACCACGCAGCAGGGCCCCGAGGAGCUGGAAUAAGAUUCAGGCUUGGGGAGAAGCAAGGAGGAGGUGUCCAGAGUAGGUUAUGACUCUGGGGGCAGGAAAGCUGGGGUCUAGUCCCUGUGGUGCCAUCGACAGGCAAUGUGACCUCAGAGGUCCUUCCCUUCCCAGACUCAGGCAUCUCCACCCGAACUGUGGGGAGACUGGAUUAGAAUAUUCUCCAUUGAGUUCCCAUGGUGGCUCAGCAGGUUAUGAACCCGACUAGUAUCCAUGAGGAGGCAGGUUCCAUCCCUGGCCUCGCUCAGUGGGUUAAGGAUCUGGCAUUGCUGUGAGCUGUGGUGCAGGUCAAAGAUGCCACUCAGAUCUGGCGUUGCUGUGGCUGUGGUGUAGGCUGGCAGCUACAGCUCCGAUUCCACCCCUAGCCUGGAAAUUUCCGCAUGCCACAGGUGUGGUUCUAAAAAGCAAAAAAAAAAAAAAAAA
rnacentral:lncRNA from 1 species